CCUACGGGAGGCAGCAGUGGGGAAUAUUGGACAAUGGGCGCAAGCCUGAUCCAGCCAUGCCGCGUGCAGGAAGACGGUCCUAUGGAUUGUAAACUGCUUUUGUACGGGAAGAAACACUCCUACGUGUAGGAGCUUGACGGUACCGUAAGAAUAAGGAUCGGCUAACUCCGUGCCAGCAGCCGCGGUAAUACGGAGGAUCCAAGCGUUAUCCGGAAUCAUUGGGUUUAAAGGGUCCGUAGGCGGUUUAGUAAGUCAGUGGUGAAAGCCCAUCGCUCAACGAUGGAACGGCCAUUGAUACUGCUAGACUUGAAUUACUAGGAAGUAACUAGAAUAUGUAGUGUAGCGGUGAAAUGCUUAGAUAUUACAUGGAAUACCAAUUGCGAAGGCAGGUUACUACUAGUGGAUUGACGCUGAUGGACGAAAGCGUGGGGAGCGAACAGGAUUAGAUACCCUGGUAGUCCACGCCGUAAACGAUGGAUACUAGCUGUUCGGGGCAACCUGAGUGGCUAAGCGAAAGUGAUAAGUAUCCACCUGGGGAGUACGUUCGCAAGAAGUAGAACGUUACAAAUAGUUAAGUUAGUACGGCGUUGAGAGAGCCGACGGACGACGACGAGGGGAGGAGG
rnacentral:rRNA from 1 species